rnacentral:rRNA from 1 species
UAAAAUAAUUAAGGGCACACAAAGGAUGCCUAGGUAGUAAGAGCCGAUGAAGGACGUGGUAAGCUGCGAUAAGCCUAGAUAAGUUGCAAUCGAACGUAAGAGUCUAGGAUUUCCGAAUGGAGCAAUCUAUUAAGAUGGAGUCUUAAUACGAAAGAGGGAACCGCGUGAACUGAAACAUCUAAGUAAUGCGAGGAAAAGAAAGUAAAAACGAUACCCAAAGUAGCGGCGAGCGAACUGGGUCAAGCCUAAACCUUAAAUAUGUCAAGGAUACAGCCGUUGUAUUUAAGGGGUUGUGGGACUAAGUUGUGAAGAACUGUAAGAUAUUCAAUAUAGUGUAUUGAUGAAUUAGAAUUGUAUGGAAAGAUAAACCGUAGAAGGUGAGAGUCCUGUAUAAGUAAAUCCUUACACAUAUAACUUGGCUCCCAAGUAGCAUGGAACACGAGGAAUUCUGUGUGAAUCAGUGAGGACCAUAUCUCAUAAGGCUAAAUACUCUUACUAACCGAUAGCGCAUAGUACCGUGAGGGAAAGGUGAAAAGAACCCCUGGAGGGGAGUGAAAUAGAACCUGAAAUUGUGUGCUUACAAGCGGUCAAAGCCCAUUUGGGUGAUGGCGUGCCUUUUGGAGAAUGAUCCUGCGAGUUACGUUAAACGGCGAGGUUAAGUAUAACGGAGCCGAAGGGAAACCAAGUCUUAAUAGGGCGAUAUAGUCGUUUGGCGUAGACGCGAAACCUGGUGAUCUAAACCUGUCCAGGAUGAAGCUGUGGUAAGACACAGUGGAGGUCCUAACCCACCGCCGUUGAAAAGUUGGGGGAUGAGGUAGGUUUAGGGGUGAAAAGCCAAUCGAACCAGGAGAUAGCUCGUUCUCUCCGAAAUGCAUCUAGGUGCAGCCUUGAGUGUUCAAUUAUGGGGGUAGAGCACUGAAUGAUCUAGGGGGCAUAUUGCUUACUGAAAUCAAUCAAACUCCAAAUACCAUAAUUUAUAGCUCAGGAGUGAGACCAUGGGAGUUAACUUCCAUUGUCAAAAGGGAAACAACCCAGACCACCAGCUAAGGUCCCUAAUUAUAACUAAGUGGGAAAGGAGGUGGAGAUUCACAAACAACUAGGAGGUUGGCUUAGAAGCAGCCAUACCUUUAAAGAGUGCGUAAUAGCUCACUAGUCGAGAGUCUCUGCGCCGACAAUGUAACGGGGCUAAGUUAUAAACCGAAGCUGUGGAAUCCUUAUGGAUUGGUAGGAGAGCGUUCUGUAGGCCGUUGAAGAAGAAGGGUAACCAACUUUGGAGGUAUCAGAAGUGAGAAUGCAGGAAUAAGUAGCGAGAAAGGGGGCGAGAAUCCCCCUCGCCGGAAGACCAAGGUUUUCAGGGUAAAGCUUGUCUUCCCUGAGUAAGCCGGGACCUAAGCCCAGGCUAUAAUGCGUAGGCGAAUGGAAAACAGAUUAAUAUUUCUGUGCCAGUCAUUUAUUGUGAUGGAGGGACGCAGAAGGGUAUGUGCGCGGACGAUCGGUUGUGUCCGUAGAAGUAUGUAGGGUGACUUAGUAGGAAAAUCCAUUAAGUUAUAUCUGAGGUAUGAUAUACAGUCGUAAGAUGAAUGUGCAAAUCCCACGCUGCCAAGAAAAACUUCUAGCGUUAAUAUAUGACUGCCCGUACUGUAAACCGACACAGGUGGUCAGGAUGAGAAAUCUAAGGCGGACAGGCUAACUCUCGUUAAGGAACUCUGCAAAAUAACCUCGUAACUUCGGGAGAAGAGGAGCCCUUGUGUGUGAGUAUACAUGCGAUACAAAGCGCACGAGGGUCGCAGUGAAGAGGCUCAAGCAACUGUUUAACAAAAACACAGGUCUAUGCUAAGCUGUAAGGCGAUGUAUAUGGGCUGACACCUGCCCAGUGCUGGAAGGUUAAGAGGAGGAGUGAGAGCUCCGAAUUGAAGCCCCAGUGAACGGCGGCCGUAACUAUAACGGUCCUAAGGUAGCGAAAUUCCUUGUCGGGUAA